CAGCAGCCGCGGUAAUACGGAGGAUGCGAGCGCUAUCCGGAUUUAUUGGGUUUAAAGGGUGCGUAGGCGGCCUGUUAAGUCAGCGGUGAAAUCUAGGAGCUUAACUCCUAAAUUGCCAUUGAUACUGGCGGGCUUGAGUGUAGAUGAGGUAGGCGGAAUGCGUGGUGUAGCGGUGGAAUGCAUAGAUAUCACGCAGAACUCCGAUUGCGAAGGCAGCUUACUAAGGUACAACUGACGCUGAAGCACGAAAGCGUGGGUAUCAAACAGGAUUAGAUACCCUGGUAGUCCACGCAGUAAACGAUGAUAACUGGGCGUAUGCGAUAUACAGUAUGCUCCUAAGCGAAAGCGUUAAGUUAUCCACCUGGGGAGUACGCCGGCAACGGUGAAACUCAAAGGAAUUGACGGGGGCCCGCACAAGCGGAGGAACAUGUGGUUUAAUUCGAUGAUACGCGAGGAACCUUACCCGGGAUUGAAAUGUAGAUGACCGCCGGUGAAAGUCGGUUUUCCUUCGGGACAUCUAUGUAGGUGCUGCAUGGUUGUCGUCAGCUCGUGCCGUGAGGUGUCGGCUUAAGUGCCAUAACGAGCGCAACCCCUGUCUACGGUUGCCAUCAGGUAAUGCUGGGAACUCCGUAGAGACUGCCGUCGUAAGGCGUGAGGAAGGUGGGGAUGACGUCAAAUCAGCACGGCCCUUACAUCCGGGGCGACACAUGUGUUACAAUGGUAAGGAUAAAGGGCAGCUACCUGGCGACAGGAUGCGAAUCUCUAAACCUUAUCACAGUUCGGAUCGGAGUCUGCAACUCGACUCCGUGAAGCUGGAUUCGCUAGUAAUCGCGCAUCAGCCAUGGCGCGGUGAAUACGUUCC
rnacentral:rRNA from 1 species